GCGGGUGUAGCUCAGCUGGCUAGAGCGCCACCUUGCCAAGGUGGAGGCCGUGGGUUCGAAUCCCAUCACCCGCUCCA
rnacentral:tRNA from 1 species